UACAGGGAAAAACUGUUUUAAACUUAAAAAUUAAAUUGAUUUUAAUUUGUGAAGAAACAAUUAUUUAAAUUAAGGACAAGAAGACCCUAAGAAUUUUAAAGAUAAUAAUUUUAAUAUUAAAAUGAUUAUCUUUUGGUUGGGGCAACUAAAAAAGAUUAUAAACUUUUUAUUCAAUAAAAUGACCCAUUAUUAAUGAUAAUUUGAUAAAAAUACUCUAGGGAUAACAGCGUAAUAAUUUUUGAUAGAACAUAUAGACAAAAUAGUUUGCGACCUCGAUGUUGGAUUAGGAUACUUUUUUAAUGAAGAUGUUAAAAAAAGAAGUUUGUUCAACUUUUAAAGUCCU
rnacentral:rRNA from 1 species